CUUAUUACAAGGACAUAAAGCUCAUAAUUGGUUGUGACAGUUCUGAUAAUUGUUUGGGAACCUAUUUGUUUUGGCGAUAUCGUACAAUAGGGUCUUCGAAAAACAAUACGUUCUAAGAAUCUAGUGAAUGGAACGCCACCGGGCGGCAAACUGAAAGUGUCCCAAGUGAAUAUGAAUGAUUGCCAAUUUUGAGAUCUAUCUUAAUGUAUUAAACAAUAUAAUCGAAAGGUAAGAAAGGUAGCAUGAGUCUUUAAGGUUAUCGCGUGAAAUUCUUCGUUUCGAAUGCCGCUUGUGUGUGUAUUUUUUUUGCAUCAUUGGCAGAUUUGUUGUUUUCGCAUAGCAGUAAAUUGAUAAAAAUAACCACAAAGUAAUUAAUAAUUAUUUUCUUAACUGUUAUUUUUAACUAAUAUAGGUAGUAUUUGUCUGAAUACAUAUUCUUCACGAAACUAUUACACCAGUAUAUAUAAAAUGUGUUUCUUUCAUUGAAAUAUAAUAUGUAAUGAUAUUAGGUUAAAAACAGUAAUACUAUAAAAAUAAGAUUCUAAACUAGGGCCGAAUAGGUUUAAAAUUAAAAAUAAUAGACAAUAUAGAAUAGGGACACCUACUUCGAUUUAUAUAUAGUAUAGUUGGCUAAAUAUGUAAUAUCCACCCAGUUAGAAACAAUUAAAAAAAAAUUUACGCCUAACAAAUUCAUCUGAAGUCAACAUUCAAUAGUAGACCUUGUAAGCAUUGGCUCAAACUGUUUCGGAUCCGUUCGGGCCGGUCUUAAGUACACGUUUAAACGGAGAUACGUAUCUGAGAAACGUUUCUUGGGAACGGUUCUUGGAGACGGAUCCGGAUCCCGGCGGUUCCGUUUAAACCGUGUUCUUAGCACCGCCGGGCUUAAGAACACGGGUAUCCGUUUCGGCGUAUAACACGGAUACCGGGAGCCCUAGUUUGGACACGUGGAAAGAAUGAGAGAAAGAAGGUUAACAAAGAGAGUGUAUAAGGGAGAAGUAGAGGAGGGAGCUGGAAGGGGUAGACCUCGGCGGACUUUCUCUGAUCAAAUCGGGGAAAUCCUGAAAGGCCAGGUCAAGAGCACCCUAAACCGGCGAGCGUGUAUGAGGAAUGUCAUGAAAGUGAAGGAAGCGAAAGAGGUAUGUCAGGAUCGUAGCAAGUGGAAAUCCGUGGUCUCUGCCUACCCCUUCGGGAAAUAGGCGUGAUUAUAUGUAUGUAUGUAUGUUUUUGAUAAUUAUAACAAAAGCGCUGGUGGCCUAGCGGUAAGAGCAUGCGACUUGCAAUCCGGAGCUCAAGAGUGCAAACCCCGGCUCGUACCAAUGAGUUUUACGGAACUUAUGUACGAAAUGUCAUUUGAUAUUUACAAGUCGUUUUUCGGUGAAGGAAAACAUCGUGAGUAAACCGGACUAAUCCCAACGAGGCCUAGUUUAUCCUCUGGCUUGAAAGGUGAGAUAGCAGUCGCUUUUGUAAACGCCAACUCUGGGGAUUAAUUGUCAAGCGGACCCCAGGCUCCCAAGAGCCGUGGCAAAUGCCGGGACAACGCGAGGAAGAAGAAGAUAAUUAUAACUAUUAUAAGAGUUAGGAGAAUUUAAAAAAUUGUAUGGAAUUGGCUUUUCGCUUCUAAUUCAAAUAAUAUUAAUAAAAUUGAAAAAAUCAAACGAAGGGGCAUUUUCUCUGACGCUUAGCACACUAGAUUCGAUUCGCAUGUCGCUCCGAUGAUUGAGCGAGACAACGCUAUGCGUGUAUUAUAGCGAUAUCCCGCUCGCACAUCGGACCGACGUGCGAAUCAGAUCCAGUGUGUUAAGCGCCUAUAUCCUGGAUUUAAAUUGGGAUCUGUGUUUGUGCGGAAAAGCGUCUCAGAGGUCUACUAAAGAUCAAUGUGUGUGGUGUCGCCUCUGAACCCCGUUGUCAAUGUUUAUGGUGUGUCCCGUGAACCCCGUUGUCAAUUUGUGUGGUGUGUCCCCUGAAACCCGUUGUCAAUGUUUAUGGUGUGUGGUGUGUCCCCUGAACCCCGUUGUCAAUGUUUAUGGUGUGUGGUGUGUCCCCUGAACCCAGUUGUCAAUGUUUAUGGUGUGUCCCGUGAACCCCCUUGUCAAUUUGUGCGGUGUGUCCCCUGAACCCCGUUGUCAAUGUUUAUGGUGUGUGGUGGGUCCCCUGAACCUAGUUGUCAAUGUUUAUGGUGUGUCCCGUGAACCCCCUUGUCAAUUUGUGCGGUGUGUCCCCUGAACCCCGUUGUCAAUGUUCAUUGAAAUGAAGGGUAGGGAACAACGUGUUGUGUGUACGUAAUAUAUAUAAAUAACAAAUAACAUAAGUAGUUUUAUGUCUUGUUUGUGUGUAAUUAUGUAUGGGUAUUGUGUGGUUUUGGUUGCAAUUAAAUAUCAUAUGUCCUAAAUUUCAAAACAACUUAGUCCCAGAAUGCCUUUUAAUAUUAAUUGUGCCCUUUUUUAAAAUGGCCAAAUGUCAUAACGACUUUUUCAAAGUAUCUUUCGUCAAAUGACGAAUUUCCGACGGACUUCUUUUUUUAAAUAUAUUAAGUUUAGCUAUAUCUAAAAUCCAUUCUUAAAACCUUUAUCGUAUUAACAAUAUUAUUUUAACGGUCGAAUGGAACUAAAGAUAAUAUCAUAUCAUAUGGGGUAAAAUAGUACUCAUUAAUGCAUGUUAUAUGAGAUUCAGGUCAUUUUGGGAAUGUGCUUUUUUGAGAAAAAAGUUAGACUUUCUGAGAUUCUGACAUUUUAAUAUUAUUCCGUUUCGAUCUCCAGAAAUUAUGGUAAAUGGGUGAAAUGAAAUUAAGGUGCAAUGAAACCAAAGCAUUGUGACACCACGUUGAUUUGAACUUUAGACAUUUUGAGAACGUUUUGAAAAUGUGUUUUUUUUUAUUUUUUUAAAGAUGGUCAUUCUGAGAUGACUGCCAGACAAAAAACGGCGCACUACCCCAGAAACCGGUGGUCUAUAGCUGCGUACAAAACAACCCGCCCAGCGGGUUGUCCGGCAUCUGAACAAAGUUCACGAGCGCCCACCAGUGGGGUUCCCGGCAGUGAAUGUGUUAAGGCUCUUACAGUAAAAAAUACACAUAGAACAUGCAUUUGUCACAAUAUGGAAUAUAAUGUACAACUUUAGUCGGGUGACAUUGUAAUAUUAUGGUACCAUCGAGCUGAUCUGAGGAUGGAGAAAGGAAGUGGAAAUGUAAACUCCAUGAUGAAACAAUGCAACCUAAUUGUGUUUGGAGUUUUUAGAAUUGCCUUGAUGAGUAUUAGUUGCCUGUGGAAAACAAAUACAGAUCAAAAAUUAAAAAUUUUGUCAAAAGAAGAAGAAGAACUUACCCUGUUAGUAUGUUGGGGUGGGUCAAAUCUUAGAAGAUAAUUUUGACCCACUUGCCGAUUUCCGAUUGAGCUGAAAUUUUUCAUUUAUAUGUAAAUCGGAUGAUUAUGCAAUAUUAUUAGGACAUGGAGCUGCUCUGAUAUAUAUAUAUUUUUUUUAAUUUAAAGCGAUAAAAACUUGUAUUGAAAAAUAUUUUUUUGCCGAAAACUUAUUGUGUUUAUUUGUUAAUAGGCGAGAAUACAUCGAAGGCGGGCCCGUCCGGUUUCAAGGCACCGAGACCUCCACCCACUGAAACCAGUAAGUAGGUCGAAAUUAUUUUCGUGGUCCUGUUUUGGAUUUGGACGACUCUGUCACGCUUGUAUUUCUGUAUUUUAUCAAAUAAAUACAAAAGACAAGUGCUAUUGCAUGUCUUUUUGACUGUAGAUUACAUUUACCACGAGAAAAAUUAAUAUCUAAAUUUCAUCUCAUACAAAAAGUCACAUUUUUCGGGGACGAAAAAUAAGACAACGUAAAUGUAAAAGUGCCCCUGUGACCUAUUUGCUGAAUAAAUGUUUGAUAUUUGAUAUUUGAACGAAAAAAUUUUUGACCCAGUUGUAGUAGAAAUACAAAUGUAUUUGACAUAAAAACACAGAAACAACAAUGUGAUCAAGAUGAUAGUGGACAACCGAUUUUUACAUAAUCUGUACCCCUAGUGUAAAUUUAUUCGAUAGCGUGACGUGACGUACGCGUUUGCGUUAAGUCUCAGCGGGACGUUUUGGAAACUCAAAAUCCCAUACAAAAUGAGACUUAACGCAAACGCGUACGUCAUGUUUCACUAUCGAAUAAAUGUACACUAGGGGCUCUGUUGUAUCAUUCACAAGUUUUUUUAUAUAACUCACCUUGUUAGUAUGUGUUUAUGCGGGUCAAAUCUCGAAAGCUAAAUUUGACCCACUUCCCGGUUUUCGAUUGAGCUGAAAAUUUGCAUACAUAAUUAUGUAAGUCGGGUGACAAUGCAAUAUUAUGGUACCAUCGAGCUGAUCUGAUGAUGGAGACAGUGACGUGGCCAUAGGAACUCUGUGAUAAAACAACGCAACCUAAAUGUUUUUGGGGUUUCCAGAAUUGUCUCGAUGAGUAUUAGUUGCCUGUGCAAAAAAAGUACAGUCAGCGAUAAUAGCUUGUACAAUAAAAAAAUAUUUUUUCCAAAAACUCAUUUCAAUUUCAAUAACUGAUUUCUAAAAGUAUGGUUUAGAAGGAAUACAUAGAAGGUGUACAGCAUAUUCUGCCGGCAUGUAUCGGCGUAGAAAUAUUUUACAUAUGUUUUUGAUUCAGUUGCAGCGCCGCCGAGUUCGCGUCGCGCGUCGCUAGAAUCCAUCGAUCUAUUUCUCGCUGUCAAAGGUAUUGUCAUGUCAAAAUUAUAUCUUUAAAUCUAGUAAUUUUUCUGCUAAAUACAUCAAACAGACAGAAGUUUUUGUGGCAAAACCGAGUGCUUGAGAAAAUGAAACAUCGACAAAUAAUAACAUCAUAGAUUAAUAAUUAAAGUAUGUAAAUUCUACUUGAUGUAAUUUAUCGGGAAAUUUCAAGAAUGAAAAUCAAUUACAAAUCCGACUAUAUUUUAUGAGUAUUUAUUACGUAUAUUAAGUAUCUUAAAAUAAAAACGUACAGUGCAAAUAAAAUAAGAAAACUACCAAUGGGUGUAUCAAAGAAGAUAUCGAACGUGUUGUGUAUUUCGCGGUAGCUAUUUUAUUUUAUUUUAUUAGCCUAUUUGUGUGUCCCACUGCUGGGCAAAGGCCUCCCCUCUAGCUUUCCAAUCCUCCCUGUGCUGAGCAAGGUCCCGCCAGUCCCGCUGAAACGCAUCCAAGUCGUCCCGCCAUCUUUUUCUCGGUCUGCCUCUGCCACGACUACAGCGGGGAUGCCAGCUAGUGGCUAUUUUAGUCCAUCUGUCAUCAUUUAUCCGGCAGACAUGUCCAGCCCAGUCCCACUUAAGCCUGGCGGUCUUCAUCCCAACAUCGACGACACGGGUUUUGGAGCAAAGCUCUGUGUUCCUCACCCUGUCAGAUCUUCGGAUACCCAGGAUACUCCGCUCCAUUGUCCUUUGACAAACCUUGAGCCGUGAUUUUUGCGCCUCAGUUAAUGACUAGUUUUGGGCACAAUAGGUGAGGAUGGGUAAGAUUAAGUCGACGAGCUUGCGCUUUAGUGCAAUUGGGAGUUUACCUUUCAUGAGUUCCUUCAUAGACCAAAAGCUCCGCCAGGCGUUUUCGAUCCUUCUAUCAAUCCUCCUGAUCCUUCCUCCUUGAUCUUCUUCCUGAUCUUGUCCUGGCGAUCUGUGAAGGAGACUAUCUGGCCUAGAUAAGUAUACUCGUCGACAUAUUGCAAAAUGUUCCCAUCCACCGUCACCUCGUGCUUCUUGCUGUUGGUCAUUAAAUGGGUUUUAGAUUGGUUCAUCGUCAGACCGAUUUUUGUAUCAUGUUAAAAAUAUCUAUAACGCUAAGGUAACAUCGAUAAUAGACAUGUCGAUAUUUGAUUUUUUUUCAAUUGCUUUAUUUUGCCACAAUAACUUCUAUGUCUAUACACACUAUCGUUAACCAAAUCUGUCGCGUCGUCACUUGUUAGGGUUCCGUAGCCAAAUGGCAAAAAACGGAACCCUUAUAGAUUCGUCAUGUCCGUCUGUCUGUCCGAUUCUUUCACAGCCACUUUUUUCCGAAACUAUAAGAGCUGUACUGUUCAAACUUGGUAAGUAGAUGUAUUCUAUGAACCGCAUUAGGAUGUUUACACAAAAAUAGAAAAAAAACAAUAAAUUUUAGGGGUUCCCCAUACUUAGAACUGAAACUCAAAAAAUCUUUUUUCAUCAAACCCAUACGUGUGGGGUAUCUAUGGAUAGGUCUUCAAAAAUGAUAUUGAGGUUUCUUAUAUCAUUUUUCUCUAAAAUGAAUAGUUUGCGCGAGAGACACUUCCAAAGUGGUAAAAUGUGUGUCCAAAGUGGUAAAAUGUUGAACAAGAUCUAGUAAGAAGAUUUUUUUUUUAAUACGUCUUAAAUUGUACGGAACCCUUCAUGCGCGAGUCCGACUCGCACUUGGCCGCUUUUUUUUUACCCGAGAUUCGCUCAUUAGGGUUCCGUAGCCAAAUGGCAGAAAACGGAACCCUUAUAGAUUCGUCAUGUCCGUCUGUCUGUCCAAUAAUAAUAAUAAUAAAUUAUUUAUUCACGACCAACUUGGAUCAUUAUUAUGUGUUAGUGACAAUUUUUAUCUUAAUGCUAAUGUUAAUAUAUACAUAUGUAUUUAAUUAUAGCAAACUAUAGCCACUUUUUUUUUAGGGUUCCGUCGUCAACUAGGAACCCUUAUAGUUUCGCCAUGUCCGUCUGUCUGUCCGAGGCUUUGUUAGUGCUAGAAAGCUACAAUUCGGCAUGAAUAAAUUAAUAAAUCCGACAGUCGUACAAUAAAAUCUAAAUUUAUUUUUGUAUACCUACAGUGUACAGUAUUGAUGGAAAGAUCUUUCAAAACUAAUAGGGAUUUUGAACAAACACUUUUUGAUAAAAUGAAUAUGAAAGAAAAAAAAUCCUUCCCCCCUGUAAGUUUUGAACCAUAGGUCUAAAAAUAUGAAACAAAUCGUAGAAAUAGAAAACUAUAGCGGACAUGAUCAGUUUAGCUGUUAAAUUAUCGUGAAAAGUCUUCUUCAUGGUAUAAAGACGUAUAAAGCGCUGCAAAGUACUCCCUUAUAUAUACAUCCAUUUAAGAUACUUACUAAUAGCUCCCGUUUAGCCUAUUCUGACAGAAUGGUAACUACGGAACCCUACACUGAGCACGUUCUUUAGUCGUAUACCUCGAAAUCAAAAAAUCCUUGUAGCUUUUCACCUAUUCGCGUUUCACCGUGAUAGCGUAUUUUGCUGUAGCGUGUAAUAUCGGUGGUGUAUUUUGUUACUCGCAUAUAUUUUUAAUAGAUUUUUACAACGGUAGCAAAUUUUAAUGUAGAAUGUAUUAUCAAUAGCCUAUUUAGUUAGCCGCAAAUAUUUUCAAUAGAUGUUUACAACAGUAGCUAAUUUUGAUGUAGCGUGUAUUAUCAAUAGCCUAUUUAGUUAUCCGCAAAUAUUUUCAAUAGAUGUUUACAACAGUAGCUAAUUUUGAUGUAGCGUGUAUUAUCAAUAGCCUAUUUAGUUUUCCGCAAAAAAAAUUGUUGCAUUUUACCUGGGUCGCAUAUUGUUGUACUGUAUUGUAUUAAUCGUAAAAAAAAUUGGCUAUAUCACUGGGAUACAAUAAAAAUACGGUCGCUUAUUGACCUCAUUGUUACAGCAAUACAUUAACUAGCUUUGGAGAAUUUGUUAUUUAGGAAAUCUACCUCUAAGGUUACAUAUAACACACUCAAAACCAGGAGAUAAACUACAAGUGCGAAAUGCAUUUACAAAACAAAUCUAUAGAGGUAUAGUGCUUAAAGGAAAUGUCGCGAUAUGUAAUAACGCAUUAUAAACAAAUAUCUAUCGAGGUGAAAAGCGACUACAGUGAAGAAAGGCAGGGAAGUAAAUAUACUAUGAAUCUUAUACACCAUUGUAAAUGGCGACCAGAAAUCAUGCUACAAAAAAAAAUCUGUUCAGAAAUUAUGAGAUCGCGGCGAAACGCGAAUAGGUGAAAAGCUACAAGGAAUUUUUGAUUUCGAGGUAUACGACUAACAAACGACUGAGCAUGACCAUUUUAUUUUGUUCAAAGUUAGACUACACGGUAUAAAUCGGUGUUCACUGAUUCUACUCCACAGAGGAAGUGGAAAACUCUGGCAGACCCUGCGGUAUGGUCGAGGUGUUCGCCCCCUCAUACCCGCCAUCGCCGGUCCCCUCCAACGGAGUGGAAGACUGGUGUUUACCCCCAGCCAUGCCAUGUGCCAUGUGUAGGGCAUCGCGGUCUCUCAAGUCCCUGUCUGACAUCAGCAGUGACAUCAUCUGGCUUGGAACUCCACCAGGGUGGACCGCGACCCCAGAGUUCCAAGACCCACAGUCCGAAGGGGAUUUGGUACGAGAAAAGGAAAUAAUGGACGA